rnacentral:tRNA from 1 species
UAUACUUUAGUGUCAAAUGCACAAAAAUUUUUGAAAUUUUAAGAAAUACUAUUAUUAUUAAGUAUAA